GACGAACGCUGGCGGCGUGCUUAACACAUGCAAGUCGAACGAAGUGGCGAACGGGUGAGUAACGCGUAAUCAACCUGCCCUUCAAAGGGGGACAACAGUUGGAAACGACUGCUAAUACCCCAUACGGAAGGGGGGGUUUGCGUCUGCUUAGCUAGUUGGGGGGGUAACGGCCCACCAAGGCGAUGAUCAGUAGCCGGUCUGGGAGGAUGAACGGCCACAUUGGGACUGGGACACUGCCCAGACUCCUACGGGGGGCAGCAGGGGGGAAUCUUCCGCAAUGGACGAAAGUCUGACGGAGCAACGCCGCGUGAUUGAUGACGGGCUUCGGGUUGUAAAGCUCUGUUAAUCGGGACGCGGUACCGGAAUAGAAAGCCACGGCUAACUACGUGCCAGCAGCCGCGGUAAUUC
rnacentral:rRNA from 1 species